rnacentral:rRNA from 1 species
CUUGGUCAUUUAGAGGAAGUAAAAGUCGUAACAAGGUUUCCGUAGGUGAACCUGCGGAAGGAUCAUUAUUGAAAUUAUAGGUGAGGGUUGUAGCUGGCCUCUCGGGGCAUGUGCACGCCCGAGCCCUUAAUCCACACACACCUGUGAACCUAUUGUAAGGGCCCUUAAAAAAAGGCCUUUACGUCUUAUCAUCAACCCCAUCGUAUGUCUCAUAGAAUGUAAAUAUAUGUCCUCGCCUUAAAAAGCGUUGAUAAACUUAUACAACUUUCAACAACGGAUCUCUUGGCUCUCGCAUCGAUGAAGAACGCAGCGAAAUGCGAUAAGUAAUGUGAAUUGCAGAUUUUCAGUGAAUCAUCGAAUCUUUGAACGCACCUUGCGCUCCUUGGUAUUCCGAGGAGCAUGCCUGUUUGAGUGUCAUUAAAUUCUCAACUCUGAUCGAUUUGUUUCGACUUCGGAGCUUGGAUUUGGAGCGUGCUGGCGUCGGUCGGCUCCUCUUAAAUGCAUCAGCGGAAUCUAACGUUUCGGAUGUCAGUGUGAUAAUCAUGUUGCGCUGUCUGUCUGAUCCGAAAGCCCGCUCACAAUGGUCUUCGGACAACUUCAUAUCAAAUUUGACCUCAAAUCAGGUAGGACUACCCGCUGAACUUAAGCAUAUCAAUAAGCGGAGGA